UUAAGCGACUAAGCGUACACGGUGGAUGCCCUGGCAGUCAGAGGCGAUGAAGGACGUGCUAAUCUGCGAAAAGCGUCGGUAAGGUGAUAUGAACCGUUAUAACCGGCGAUGUCCGAAUGGGGAAACCCAGUGCAAUUCGUUGCACUAUCGUUAACUGAAUACAUAGGUUAACGAGGCGAACCGGGGGAACUGAAACAUCUAAGUACCCCGAGGAAAAGAAAUCAACCGAGAUUCCCCCAGUAGCGGCGAGCGAACGGGGAGCAGCCCAGAGUCUGAAUCAGCUUGUGUGUUAGUGGAACGGUCUGGAAAGUCCGACGGUACAGGGUGAUAGUCCCGUACACCAAAAUGCACAGGCUGUGAACUCGAAGAGUAGGGCGGGACACGUGGUAUCCUGUCUGAAUAUGGGGGGACCAUCCUCCAAGGCUAAAUACUCCUGACUGACCGAUAGUGAACCAGUACCGUGAGGGAAAGGCGAAAAGAACCCCGGCGAGGGGAGUGAAAAAGAACCUGAAACCGUGUACGUACAAGCAGUGGGAGCACCUUCGGGUGUGACUGCGUACCUUUUGUAUAAUGGGUCAGCGACUUAUAUUCUGUAGCAAGGUUAACCGUAUAGGGGAGCCGCAGGGAAACCGAGUCUUAACUGGGCGUUAAGUUGCAGGGUAUAGACCCGAAACCCGGUGAUCUAGCCAUGGGCAGGUUGAAGGUUGGGUAACACUAACUGGAGGACCGAACCGACUAAUGUUGAAAAAUUAGCGGAUGACUUGUGGCUGGGGGUGAAAGGCCAAUCAAACCGGGAGAUAGCUGGUUCUCCCCGAAAGCUAUUUAGGUAGCGCCUCGUGAACUCAUCUUCGGGGGUAGAGCACUGUUUCGGCUAGGGGGUCAUCCCGACUUACCAACCCGAUGCAAACUACGAAUACCGAAGAAUGUUAUCACGGGAGACACACGGCGGGUGCUAACGUCCGUCGUGAAGAGGGAAACAACCCAGACCGCCAGCUAAGGUCCCAAAGUCAUGGUUAAGUGGGAAACGAUGUGGGAAGGCACAGACAGCCAGGAUGUUGGCUUAGAAGCAGCCAUCAUUUAAAGAAAGCGUAAUAGCUCACUGGUCGAGUCGGCCUGCGCGGAAGAUGUAACGGGGCUAAACCAUGCACCGAAGCUGCGGCAGCGACACUAUGUGUUGUUGGGUAGGGGAGCGUUCUGUAAGCCUGCGAAGGUGACCUGUGAGGGUUGCUGGAGGUAUCAGAAGUGCGAAUGCUGACAUAAGUAACGAUAAAGCGGGUGAAAAGCCCGCUCGCCGGAAGACCAAGGGUUCCUGUCCAACGUUAAUCGGGGCAGGGUGAGUCGACCCCUAAGGCGAGGCCGAAAGGCGUAGUCGAUGGGAAACAGGUUAAUAUUCCUGUACUUGGUGUUACUGCGAAGGGGGGACGGAGAAGGCUAUGUUAGCCGGGCGACGGUUGUCCCGGUUUAAGCAUGUAGGCUGGUUAUCCAGGCAAAUCCGGAUAAUCAAGGCUGAGGUGUGAUGACGAGGCACUACGGUGCUGAAGUAACAAAUGCCCUGCUUCCAGGAAAAGCCUCUAAGCAUCAGGUAACAUUAAAUCGUACCCCAAACCGACACAGGUGGUCAGGUAGAGAAUACCAAGGCGCUUGAGAGAACUCGGGUGAAGGAACUAGGCAAAAUGGUGCCGUAACUUCGGGAGAAGGCACGCUGGUGUGUAGGUGAAGUCCCUGCGGAUGGAGCUGAGACCAGUCGAAGAUACCAGCUGGCUGCAACUGUUUAUUAAAAACACAGCACUGUGCAAACACGAAAGUGGACGUAUACGGUGUGACGCCUGCCCGGUGCCGGAAGGUUAAUUGAUGGGGUUAUCCGUAAGGAGAAGCUCUUGAUCGAAGCCCCGGUAAACGGCGGCCGUAACUAUAACGGUCCUAAGGUAGCGAAAUUCCUUGUCGGGUAAGUUCCGACCUGCACGAAUGGCGUAAUGAUGGCCAGGCUGUCUCCACCCGAGACUCAGUGAAAUUGAACUCGCUGUGAAGAUGCAGUGUACCCGCGGCAAGACGGAAAGACCCCGUGAACCUUUACUAUAGCUUGACACUGAACAUUGAGCCUUGAUGUGUAGGAUAGGUGGGAGGCUUUGAAGCGUGGACGCCAGUCUGCGUGGAGCCAACCUUGAAAUACCACCCUUUAAUGUUUGAUGUUCUAACGUUGGCCCCUGACCGGGGUUGCGGACAGUGUCUGGUGGGUAGUUUGACUGGGGCGGUCUCCUCCCAAAGCGUAACGGAGGAGCACGAAGGUUAGCUAAUCCUGGUCGGACAUCAGGAGGUUAGUGCAAUGGCAUAAGCUAGCUUGACUGCGAGCGUGACGGCGCGAGCAGGUGCGAAAGCAGGUCAUAGUGAUCCGGUGGUUCUGAAUGGAAGGGCCAUCGCUCAACGGAUAAAAGGUACUCCGGGGAUAACAGGCUGAUACCGCCCAAGAGUUCAUAUCGACGGCGGUGUUUGGCACCUCGAUGUCGGCUCAUCACAUCCUGGGGCUGAAGUAGGUCCCAAGGGUAUGGCUGUUCGCCAUUUAAAGUGGUACGCGAGCUGGGUUUAGAACGUCGUGAGACAGUUCGGUCCCUAUCUGCCGUGGGCGCUGGAGAAUUGAGGGGGGCUGCUCCUAGUACGAGAGGACCGGAGUGGACGCAUCACUGGUGUUCGGGUUGUCAUGCCAAUGGCACUGCCCGGUAGCUAAAUGCGGAAGAGAUAAGUGCUGAAAGCAUCUAAGCACGAAACUUGCCCCGAGAUGAGUUCUCCCUGAGACUUUAAGUCUCCUGAAGGAACGUUAAAGACGAUGACGUUGAUAGGCCGGGUGUGUAAGCGCAGCGAUGCGUUGAGCUAACCGGUACUAAUGAACCGUGAGGCUUAACCUU
rnacentral:rRNA from 1 species